rnacentral:rRNA from 1 species
GAUGAACGCUGGCGGCGUGCCUAAUACAUGCAAGUCGAGCGAACAGACGAGGAGCUUGCUCCUUUGACGUUAGCGGCGGACGGGUGAGUAACACGUGGGUAACCUACCUAUAAGACUGGGAUAACUUCGGGAAACCGGAGCUAAUACCGGAUAAUACUUCGAACCGCAUGGUUCGAUAGUGAAAGAUGGCUUUGCUAUCACUUAUAGAUGGACCUGCGCCGUAUUAGCUAGUUGGUAAGGUAACGGCUUACCAAGGCAACGAUACGUAGCCGACCUGAGAGGGUGAUCGGCCACACUGGAACUGAGACACGGUCCAGACUCCUACGGGAGGCAGCAGUAGGGAAUCUUCCGCAAUGGGCGAAAGCCUGACGGAGCAACGCCGCGUGAGUGAUGAAGGUCUUCGGAUCGUAAAACUCUGUUAUUAGGGAAGAACAAACGUGUAAGUAACUGUGCACGUCUUGACGGUACCUAAUCAGAAAGCCACGGCUAACUACGUGCCAGCAGCCGCGGUAAUACGUAGGUGGCAAGCGUUAUCCGGAAUUAUUGGGCGUAAAGCGCGCGUAGGCGGUUUUUUAAGUCUGAUGUGAAAGCCCACGGCUCAACCGUGGAGGGUCAUUGGAAACUGGAAAACUUGAGUGCAGAAGAGGAAAGUGGAAUUCCAUGUGUAGCGGUGAAAUGCGCAGAGAUAUGGAGGAACACCAGUGGCGAAGGCGACUUUCUGGUCUGUAACUGACGCUGAUGUGCGAAAGCGUGGGGAUCAAACAGGAUUAGAUACCCUGGUAGUCCACGCCGUAAACGAUGAGUGCUAAGUGUUAGGGGGUUUCCGCCCCUUAGUGCUGCAGCUAACGCAUUAAGCACUCCGCCUGGGGAGUACGACCGCAAGGUUGAAACUCAAAGGAAUUGACGGGGACCCGCACAAGCGGUGGAGCAUGUGGUUUAAUUCGAAGCAACGCGAAGAACCUUACCAAAUCUUGACAUCCUUUGACCCUUCUAGAGAUAGAAGUUUCCCCUUCGGGGGACAAAGUGACAGGUGGUGCAUGGUUGUCGUCAGCUCGUGUCGUGAGAUGUUGGGUUAAGUCCCGCAACGAGCGCAACCCUUAAGCUUAGUUGCCAUCAUUAAGUUGGGCACUCUAAGUUGACUGCCGGUGACAAACCGGAGGAAGGUGGGGAUGACGUCAAAUCAUCAUGCCCCUUAUGAUUUGGGCUACACACGUGCUACAAUGGACAAUACAAAGGGCAGCAAAACCGCGAGGUCAAGCAAAUCCCAUAAAGUUGUUCUCAGUUCGGAUUGUAGUCUGCAACUCGACUACAUGAAGCUGGAAUCGCUAGUAAUCGUAGAUCAGCAUGCUACGGUGAAUACGUUCCCGGGUCU